UGGGGAAUUUUGGACAAUGGGCGAAAGCCUGAUCCAGCAAUGCCGCGUGUGUGAAGAAGGCCUUCGGGUUGUAAAGCACUUUUGUCCGGAAAGAAAUGGCUCUGGUUAAUACCUGGGGUCGAUGACGGUACCGGAAGAAUAAGGACCGGCUAACUACGUGCCAGCAGCCGCGGUAAUACGUAGGGUCCAAGCGUUAAUCGGAAUUACUGGGCGUAAAGCGUGCGCAGGCGGUUGUGCAAGACCGAUGUGAAGUCCCCGAGCUUAACUUGGGAAUUGCAUUGGUGACUGGAGGGCUAGAGUGUGUCAGAGGGGGGUAGAAUUACACGUGUAGCAGUGAAAUGCGUAGAGAUGUGGAGGAAUACCGAUGGCGAAGGCAGCCCCCUGGGAUAACACUGACGCUCAUGCAAGAAAGCGUGGGGAGCAAACAGG
rnacentral:rRNA from 1 species